CUCGGCGCACAAGCGGCACCGCUACCUGAAUCUCACGCACAGGGGUGCUCCGGCGGCUAGAUGGCGCUUCGGUGAAUUGUAGGCCGCCAUCGACCUGGUCCCUUGGAUCCAUGUGCUGCCACCGCUUGGGCCCAUGGCCCCGACCUGCGCUGUCUUAGGGACUCGCGUUGCUCCCAGCGCCUCCUGCUCGUGUGAUGGGAUUAGCGGCGGCCGCUCGUUGCUCGACGCUUGUUGGGACAAGCCUAGCCACACCCCCACGUGAGCUGGUGGUGGCGUCACAUAUUCUUGCUAUGGAUCUGUCCUUCAAGCCCUUCUUCUCGGACCUCGUGGACUACAUCAUCUCUGGUGCUGUUGUGGCCAUGGUCUGGGAGGACAUGAGCGUCAUCUCAACUGGCCGCAAGAUCAUCGGCGCCACCAAAUCCCCUGGCUUCUAAGCCCGACACCAUCCGUGGUGACUUGCUGUUGAUAUCAGCAGAUCAAGCGCCUAGCAGGCUACUCCCGCUUCCACGCUGCCUCAUAUGCUGCAAGCUACUCAAGCCACUGUAGGAUUUUGGAGUGUGAUUUCGGAAGUGUGUGUAACUAUAUAUCUUUGUCUGCAGUCAAUUAGUACUUUGUAUCUUUUCAUUUCGCAGGAAAGUUUGUGGCAAUAGAGAAGUACAAAGGACAGUGUUGGAAUUGCUGAACUAGCUCAAUGGAUUUAGCAGUGAUGAGAGGAUAAAGACUGGAAGACUGAUUUCUCUCAUCCAUCAAAGGAUCUUGCAGGAGAUGAGGAGGAUGGUGGCGGUGUCGCCCGCAAGAAAGGUGUGGGGGACUAUGACUAGGAUGAUGGCGAGGGGCGGGAGGAGAACAUGGUGCACCUGUUAUUUGGACCAUGGGAAAAUUGUAAACCAAACAUAUUCCACAUUUCAGCGUUUCUUGUGAAGAUUGAUAUUUCAGAUAUUCAGUGUGCACUACCGCUGCACAUAGGCACGACGGCGAUCCAUCCCUUGAGCAUCAGCCAUAAAAGACAGAGGAGUUAUAUAUAGCAUUUGGUUAGGGUCUUUAAUGGAAAAUCCUACUCUCAACAACUAAGGAGUAAGGAGUAUGAGACACGAUGAAAACCUCUCAAGUUGAACCUUUACUAGCAGUUUAACCAGAGAACAUAAAACCUACCAUUGACAUCAGAGGUGGCCGUCGUUUGGGUUGUGGGGAGUGAACCUCUAGGCCAAUUCGAGCAUAGUGUUUUCUUGCAAGGGAAUACACAAUAUCCACUUGUAUAAUAUGUGUUAUGACCCAUUGUCAUACAUGUUGUUCUUUCCAAAGGGUGAGCUCGGGUGGCACAUUGUAUUCUAAAAGUGGGUGUGACUAUGAAUCAAGUUGAGCGAGCUCGAGCAAUCCGCAAAAAGCAUGACAAUGGUGGCAAUGAUGAUGGAGAUAACUUGAACUCUUUUCAUUAAUGCAGUAUAAACUCUUUUAUACUAACUCAUGAUACUAAUUUGAACAAUGUCUUCCUAUAGAACA